rnacentral:rRNA from 1 species
CUACGGGUUGCUGCAGUGUGGAAUAUUGGUCAAUGGACGAGAGUCUGAACCAGCCAUCCCGCGUGCAGGAUGACGGCCCUAUGGGUUGUAAACUGCUUUUCUAUACCAAGAAACCUGUCUACGUGUAGACAGUUGCCGGUAGUAUAGGAAUAAGCAUCGGCUAACUCCGUGCCAGCAGCCGCGGUAAUACGGAGGAUGCAAGCGUUAUCCGGAUUCAUUGGGUUUAAAGGGUGCGCAGGUGGGAUAGUAAGUCAGUGGUGAAAGCUUGCCGCUUAACGGUAAAACUGCCAUUGAUACUGCUGUUCUUGAGUAUGGUUGAGGUAGGCGGAAUGUGUUGUGUAGCGGUGAAAUGCAUAGAUAUGACACAGAACGCCGAUUGCGAAGGCAGCUUACUAAGCCAUUACUGACGCUGAGGCACGAAAGCGUGGGGAGCGAACAGGAUUAGAUACCCCUGUAGUC